rnacentral:rRNA from 1 species
AAACUUUCAACAACGGAUCUCUUGGUUCUGGCAUCGAUGAAGAACGCAGCGAAAUGCGAUAAGUAAUGUGAAUUGCAGAAUUCAGUGUAUCAUCGAAUACUUGAACGCCACAUUGCGCCCAUUGGGUAUUCCGAAGGGCAUGCCUGUUCGAGACGUCAAU